rnacentral:rRNA from 1 species
GAUUCAUGACUGGGGUGAAGUCGUAACAAGGUAACCGUAGGGGAACCUGCGGUUGGAUCACCUCCUUACC